CCCCCCCCCUUUCCCCCAAACAAAAUAGCCUAACAUUUUCAAAAUAACUCGUAUCUAAUAGUAAAUACAGGGUGCAGAAAAAGGUAGGUAUAUAUAUAACAUGGAACAUUUUGAACAUACAGCCUAUAUAAUCAACACUGGCCAUUAACUAUUAGUUUGUGUAGAUACAAAUUACUUAAAAGGUUUACAUAAUAUCAAUGAAUCAAGUAAAUAAGGCAUGAAACAAUAAUUGAAAGAUACACAAAUAUACAUAAGUAAACAUAUUUAAACAUUUAUAAACAAACAUACACAAGUAAUCAUACUUAAACAUAUAUAAACAUAUAUAAACAAACAUACACAAGUAAUCAUACUUAAACAUAUAUAUAUAUAUAUA